rnacentral:rRNA from 1 species
AAGCUUGCUUCUCUUGAGAGCGGCGGACGGGUGAGUAAUGCCUAGGAAUCUGCCUGGUAGUGGGGGAUAACGUUCGGAAACGGACGCUAAUACCGCAUACGUCCUACGGGAGAAAGCAGGGGACCUUCGGGCCUUGCGCUAUCAGAUGAGCCUAGGUCGGAUUAGCUAGUUGGUGGGGUAAUGGCUCACCAAGGCGACGAUCCGUAACUGGUCUGAGAGGAUGAUCAGUCACACUGGAACUGAGACACGGUCCAGACUCCUACGGGAGGCAGCAGUGGGGAAUAUUGGACAAUGGGCGAAAGCCUGAUCCAGCCAUGCCGCGUGUGUGAAGAAGGUCUUCGGAUUGUAAAGCACUUUAAGUUGGGAGGAAGGGCAGUUACCUAAUACGUGAUUGUUUUGACGUUACCGACAGAAUAAGCACCGGCUAACUCUGUGCCAGCAGCCGCGGUAAUACAGAGGGUGCAAGCGUUAAUCGGAAUUACUGGGCGUAAAGCGCGCGUAGGUGGUUUGUUAAGUUGGAUGUGAAAUCCCCGGGCUCAACCUGGGAACUGC